GGGGGGGGGGGGGGAGGGGACUAAGGAAUCUCAUGUUGACCAUUUUUUUAUAUGUGGAAAAUUGAUUGCUCUUAUUGACUUUUUUGUUUCCUCUGCUAAAAGAAUCUAGUAUAUAUUCUGUGGGCUGUGCAUUACAUUUUUAUUUGUUUUUGUGUUCCUUAUGGUUGCAUGUUUUGAUGUAGGCAUGUGUGUUAGAACUUAACUUGAAUUCUGGACUGUUUGGAAUGACUUCUUAAUCACUUUGAAAAUCAUUCUAAACAUUGAGUACUUGUUUCUUUAGGAGCUUAUGUUUUAGAAAUUGACGAGUCUAUAUGUUGGGAGCCUAAUACUUUUACAAUGAUUCGCUUCAAGGCUGUUUAUGGGAGUGCUUGAUAGUGGAACUUGGAAAAAGCACGUUAGGGGUUCUUUUGGCCCAAACACUUACCUAAAAAGUACCUAUAUACAUUUUCUUUUUUAAAAAGACUGAAUACUUUUUAUUUAAGUGCUUAUGUCAGCACUCCUAGAUGCAUCUUUAAUACCUCUCCUUGGUAUGAAUCUCAUUCUUUAUCCUGCAUUUUGUCAUCAUAUCUUACUAUGGCCACAACAUUAGUGUUGAAGUUUCAACUUUUGCCUUUUGUUUAAUCAAAUAGCCCUUGGAAUCCUUCAAUCAGUCUACUUAAGGAGAAUAGAAAGAGCCAGCUAGUUAUGAACUUCUGAUUCUUGCCUAAGUAGUUGCUCAUCCUUUUGCCUAUUGUUUAAUCGACAGUUCUCGGGAUCCUUUUACGAGUCUAAUUCAUUUCUAUUUUGCUGCUAAGUUAUCCCAAGUUCUAGCUGUUUGUGCCGCCGUAGAUAAGUGGAGAAUGGUUGCAAACGACCCCCAUCACAGGCAGAAAAUAUUCUCUUAGAUUUACUGCUUUGGCGAGGUUGAUUAUUUCAUGAAUGACUUUCGACUCUUUCCUCACAAGACAAUGUCCUACCAUUUUCGAAAAUGCUUUGAAAGCACAUAUAGCAUGUGUGAUUUUCAAGUUCUGCAUUUUGGUGGAGUAGGCCCUAACACUAUAAUGGUAAAGAAAAGAUGUUUUGUUGAAUCCCCUAACUUUUAUCCACCUCACUUUGCCUUUGAUGGCCAAUCCUUUUAGGAGUAACGGAAAAUAUCAAUCCAUCUUUGAUUUGCUCCACAUAUUUGCAAUGUGGAAGUCAAUUGCAAGUAUUUCAUACUAUUCAGUACUCGACUCAGUGUUCAAAUUGCAAUCGAGCAAAAAUCACCAUCGAUUGUCAUUUCAAUCCUUGUUCAAAUUCAUAGCAUAUCGACAUUGCUGAUUGGUUAUACAUUUUUCUGGCUAUUGUUCAUUGUUAGGUGAUAUAUCCUAAUUUAUCUCAUUAUCUUCCCCUUCAGCUCUCCCUUUUGGUUUCUAGCACUAAAUCAAAUCAAAGAUUUUGUUUCUGUGCUUCCCUAUUCUUGUCAUUUAGGAAAAAUUAUAACCAAAAAUGUCAAUACGGGCUUUCAUCUUCUCGAUAUCGAAAUGAUUUUAUAGCAGUGAUUUUGAAUCUUCAGCGUACAAAGGGAUGGCUAUGGGAAAUCCAAAAGUUUGUUGCUGCCGCCUCUGCUAGCUUUUUCAAUGAAUGAAUGAUUCACUAAGUCACAUGGAAUUUUAUUUUUCCUUCAAGUUAUAAUUUCUUUGUAGGGGCCCUCGCAACUCAGACUUCAUUUCUUUAUGACCCCUACAUUAAAUUAUUGUACUAUUGUCUAACAUAUCACCAAAUUGUACAUUCUGUAAUCUACUCGACAUAUAUCAAUCAACCGAUUUCGAGUUUGCACCAACAGCGUAAGACCUUUCAAAUGUUACAAAUCAGUAAAUAUAUCAUUUUUCUUCUACA